UAUUGUCAGGUCAUCAGUGGAGACAGAACACAGCAGAUUACAGUAGGAGUGAGGAUAAAACCUGAAGUCCAACAUGUGAGUCAGUCACCAACAUUUUAAGGUCAAAGUAUUCAGCUAAAGCUGUUUGAGAUAGACAAAAUAUGGACUAAACAGGAGAAAGACAAAAUGAAUAAAUCUGCUCUAAUGGCUGAAGAGCUUCAGGAUAUGUUAAUUAAGGCUGGCAAAGAAAAAGACAGACAGCUGGAAAGAGCUGAACAGGAGUUGAGAGACGUGAAAGAUGUUGGACAGACUCUUAAGACUCAACCCUCAUGCUCAGUUUUUGGACAGAGACAAAUCGAAUCCCGUUUAAUAGCUAAGAAAUGU